rnacentral:rRNA from 1 species
UGGGGAAUAUUGCACAAUGGGCGAAAGCCUGAUGCAGCCAUGCCGCGUGUGUGAAGAAGGCCUUAGGGUUGUAAAGCACUUUCAGCAGUGAGGAAAGGGUUGUAGUUAAUACCUGCAAUCUGUGACGUUAACUGCAGAAGAAGGACCGGCUAACUCC